UACGUAGGGUGCGAGCGUUAAUCGGAAUUACUGGGCGUAAAGCGUGCGCAGGCGGUUUUGUAAGCCAGAUGUGAAAGCCCCGGGCUCAACCUGGGAAUGGCAUUUGGGACUGCAAGGCUUGAGUGCGGCAGAGGAGACUAGAAUUCCUGGUGUAGCAGUGAAAUGCGUAGAUAUCAGGAAGAACACCCGUGGCGAAGGCGGCUCUCUGGGACGGUACUGACGCUGAGACGCGAAAGCGUGGGGAGCGAACAGG
rnacentral:rRNA from 1 species